rnacentral:rRNA from 1 species
CUUGGUCAUUUAGAGGAAGUAAAAGUCGUAACAAGGUUUCCGUAGGUGAACCUGCGGAAGGAUCAUUACUUAUUCGGUCAUUGGUUUUUAUUCAAAAACCUUUGGCUUUAAAUCAUCCACAGUGUGGGAAAUGUCUUCUAACGCUUGUGCCUGGUUCAGUCUAGUGCUGCCACUUGAGUUUACUCUUGGGUCAAGGGACCUUUGGGUAGUUUGUUCAUUCGUGAACAACCUCUUGUAACGGGGAUAAGAUUAAUUUUAUUAUACUAAAUUUUACUGAACUGAUAGACCAUAAAUCUAUGGUUGUUUUUUAUUAUAAACAAAAAAACAACUUUCAGCAAUGGAUCUCUCGGCUUUCGUAUCGAUGAAGAACGCAGCAAAUCGCGAUAUGUAAUGUGAUCUGCCUAUAGUGAAUCAUCAAAUCUUUGAACGCAUCUUGCACCUUAUGGUAUUCCAUAAGGUACGUCUGUUUCAGUACCACUAGUAAAUCUCCCCUCCACCUUGGUGGUCUAAAAGGAAGAGAUAAAUUAUUACUGGUUCUGGUGAUUCUUGAUUUAUUAAGAAUUACUCUCGACCUAAAUAUAAGGCUCGACUUUUUUAUUAGAUCUCGCAUCUGGUAAAACCUAGUCGGCUUUAAUAGGAUUUAUUUCUUAUUAGGUUUAUAGCCAUCAUUUUACUUUUAAAUCUUGGCCUGAAAUCAGAUGGGACUACCCGCUGAACUUAAGCAUAUCAAUAAGCGGAGGA